GAGAGUCAACACAACUAUGCCUUGUUUCUCGAGCACCCUUAUCUUCUGUCCAUUUUCUCAUUCCUCUGCUCUGCGCUCUUCUCAUUUUAUCGCCUGAUGAACCAUCAAAGAACAAACCCUAGACAUCUACUGAACCAUUAAAGAACAAAAAUGGUUCUCUAUCCGUGAUUGUCUAUAAACCCUUUCAUCUACUACAACCCAGUAAACCAAAUCAAUCUCUUCUCCUAACAGAUCCAUUCUAGGUCGUCGUCUUCUUUUAAGGUGAAUGAUAAGCAAACCCCUAAUUUAUUCUUCAACUUUCUCAUAAUACUUGGUUUAUGAUUUCUCACAACCAUCUAUCUUCAAUUUAACUUUUGAGGGUUUUGUUGUGAACAACUUAUCUUCAAUUGGUCGGGUGGUGAUGUCAAUUAUCUUGAUAUUAUUCGAGGUGAUCCCGGUGGUUAUGUCGUAACAGUUAAAAUGAUUAAAGGUGCUUUCCUGGGAAGUGAAGAAUGUUUACUAAGUGUUAAGAUCUCAAGUGUUUGAUCUUCUUUUCUAUUGCCCUCGUUGUUUUUAAAGUUUUUGUUUGUGUGAACUUUCUAAUACGUUUCCCUUUUGAUCUGUUAUAGGUAACAAUUUCUGAGCUGAAAUAGUGAUGAACUGAAGUAGUGAUGAUUAAUCAACUUGCUGUUGUAGAAUAUUCUGUUGUGAUGGGUAAUUAAGGGAGGAUAAGGCUACUCGCAUAUAUACUUUAUGGCAUUCUUGUUGUGUUUGUAGAAAAUUUUCAUUAACACUGGUCACUGUAUACAAAAAUUGCAGCUAUUACAUUCGCUUGCUAUUUGAGGCGAUUGUAUUUGACCCUUACAUUUGCAGUCACCUUGUUAAACUUACGUUCAAUCUGACCGCGAAUUUGAAAUAAGUGAACUAAGUAGCCUUGAUUAUUCAGUUUAAUUGUAUUUCAGUUUUGCAAGUUUUCUUUCAUUGUACAAGAACCAAUGGCUACAUGAUACAUUGUGCCCACCUUUUGUGCUGUUCAGGGGAUGCUUUUCCUAGUUAAAUUAGGACCUUUAUAUCAGUUCCUAAUGUUUAGCGAUUGAAAGAAUUAUUCAUUUAUUUGUACUUGCCAUGUAAUUUCUUACAAAUUCACAACACUUUUGAGUUGAAUUGCCAAUCUGGGUGUUAUAUGGCUUAUUAUUUGGUAUUUAAUUGGGGUUUUUUUGAUCCCACAGAUUUGAAUACCACAUUCCAGAAAGUGAUGAAAGAGCACUACAAUACUUACUCUGUUCUAAUACUUAUUCAAAACAGCUAGUUGAAUUGCCACUGGAAUCCUUAAUAGAACUACAAUAGGGAGUUUGAAAACCUGUGUUUUUGUGUAGGUUCAGGUUGGGAUAAUAUUUCUGAUUAGCUUACAUCCCCAUCUUUUUGCCAUGAAGUCUUAUUUCUGUCUACAAACUUCUGAUGGUUCAAUCCAGCAAGUAGAAUAAGAGGUUGCUAUGUUCAUCCCAAUUGCAGAGAAGUGCUACAAAAUAGAAAGGGUCAACUAAGAACUACGCUAUUUCACUUCACGAGCAAAUACAACUAUAUUAAUUAUUAAGCUUAAUAAUCGAUUAUUGUCGUUUCUAUCAAAUACCUGGUCGUUCUAAUAAGGUACUUGAUCUUAGAUCGCUGAUGUUGUCGAGAUUGAAACUACAAAUUCAUCAAGUAUCUGAUCAGCUAGUUGACAACAACGCUCAGGAAGCCAACGCUCAGGAAGCUUUACCUGCUAUAGCGGGUUAUAGUCUGUAGGGAAGCAGCCUUCUUCUUAUAGGUGGACAGUCAAAAGAGUUAUCGGAUGUCAUAAUUGGCAGCAGUGUCUCACUAUACCUACCUCACUUGCAUACUAUCAGACUAGUGCAUUGCCGAAAGUUCGUCUGGUGUAAGCUACCAUAUUUCUUAUGUUCUCCUCUUACGAAGUUUUAGAAAGUUUGGGCUAAGAAAUUGGUGCUGCAAAAGCAGGAACCCUGGUGUUUAAAUGCAAUUGUUUGCCUGAAGUUGACCUUACUGGUUGCGAAGCUCUGAUGAAUUAUAUUUGUGAAGUUUUUAGUGAUGAGGGUGGUUGCCCGAUGCUCAAGUCACUGGCCCUCUGGACCUCGACAACUGCGAGGUUGGUACUCGGUCUCAUAACUUAGGUAUAUGCCCUAAAUUCGAGGAACCUGACAUUGUGGUGCUAGAAUUGAAGGGAUGUGGUGUUCUAUUCGAAGCAUCAAUCGUUGUCCCCGUCUGAUAGCGUUAGAUUCUUCUUUUUGUGGCAAAACCUAAAAGAUGACUACUGCCACAAGUGCUGCAUGGCCUUUAUGAUUUUGAUGUCCUGCCGAACUUUCUCUUUGAUGGCUCGUGUCUUUAGUGAAUGAAGGCAUAAAUGGUGAAGUCUUGUUGAUCCCUUUUGCAGUGUCUUCAGUAAACAAAGGCAUAGAUGGUGAAGUUUUGCCUUCAAUUUUUUGUUGAAGUUUUUCGGUAGCAAGCUUGUAAUAAAAACAUAAACUUAAGACAAGAACUUGUAUUUUAGAUACUCGAUGAUGUAAACUGUUAUCACUUUUUAGUACAAAUUCAGUUUUAAAGUUACCAUCAAUUUAAGUUUU